UGUGCGUCAUACAUUCAUACCAAACCACUGUUAUAAGUUAUUUCAAUUCAUUACCACGUUUUUCCGUUUUCGCAACAGUCACUUAAGUCGCAACGACAACGAUCAUGUUUAUAUAUGCAGAUUAAUUCGCACCACCUCUGACAACUGCAAUGACACUGAUACAACUACCUUGAAAACAGAGAAAUUGAAGAUGUUUCAAAUGACGUUUUUGCGAAACUAUUUACCCAUCUAAAUCUAUAAAAUCUAAAAAUAAUUCAACAGUAAGACUUUUGUCAUUGGUAGUGGGACUGGGACAUAAGAAAUAAGGAAAUUAUAAACCAAUCAAAUGGACAAUUGAACCAUUUUCAUGCUUAUCAAGUGGAAUUAAAUUCUGAAUUGCAACUUUUUGGUAGUUAUUCAACUAAUUUACCAGACCCAACUCCUACUUUUGAUAGAACUGGAUAUGUUUGUAUCAUUAAGGUAUGCAC